CAGUCGUACCGACGGAAAAUCAGCUUUUUGAGUGCGGACUUGUGGGUUUACGUGAGCUUUACGGCCUCGUUGUUUGCAAUGUUCGUUCUUUUUGGGUGUACUUUUUCGUAUGGUUGGCCAAUAUCAGUUUCGAUCGCUAUAAAAUGACCGGCGGAAUGUAGCUUCGAUCUCGUAUUGAAGUGUUAUAGCCUCUGGUAGAUGUGGUGAUUGGGACUGAGGAUUGCAACGAAUACCUUUUUGGGCUAUCCGUCUGAUCUCUGAAAGUUGCUUAGGUGCCGAAAGCGUGCUUACGGUUAUUUAAGUUGACGGUCAAAAGGUUAGAACGUGAUUAUA
rnacentral:rRNA from 1 species